rnacentral:rRNA from 1 species
GACGAACGCUGGCGGCGUGCUUAACACAUGCAAGUCGAACGGAAAGGCCCUGCUUUUGUGGGGUGCUCGAGUGGCGAACGGGUGAGUAACACGUGAGUAACCUGCCCUUGACUUUGGGAUAACUUCAGGAAACUGGGGCUAAUACCGGAUAGGAGCUCCUGCUGCAUGGUGGGGGUUGGAAAGUUUCGGCGGUUGGGGAUGGACUCGCGGCUUAUCAGCUUGUUGGUGGGGUAGUGGCUUACCAAGGCUUUGACGGGUAGCCGGCCUGAGAGGGUGACCAGCCACAUUGGGACUGAGAUACGGCCCAGACUCCUACGGGAGGCAGCAGUGGGGAAUAUUGCACAAUGGGCGGAAGCCUGAUGCAGCAACGCCGCGUGCGGGAUGACGGCCUUCGGGUUGUAAACCGCUUUCGCCUGUGGCGAAGCGUGAGUGACGGUAAUGGGUAAAGAAGCACCGGCUAACUACGUG